GCUCAAUUUAUAACUCCGGAACACCAACGGUUUCAGACAGUGACUCCGCUACUUGUUUCUCUGUUUGGUAGGACGUUUCACCCUGCAGAAGAGAGUGAUGGCCUUGUUGAGAAGGAUAGAGCACCCCACUGCAGGAAACACUGAGUUGUGAAAGAAUAAAGAAGCAUAAAAUACAGUUUAUCCUUGCUUACAUCCUUCCAGUAUUAGUGACUUGUCCCUUCUUGUUUCCAUGUCUCACCCCAGGCAUGGGAGGACACGCAUGAAAAAUGGGAGCAGGACACCAAACAGAUUCUGAACUUUCCCAAAAACAAGGUGGAGGAUGGUCAGGAGUGGAUCAACAUGACAGGCUUCCUGUGUGCUCUGGGUGGGGUGUGUCUGUCCCAGCGCAGCAAGCCCUGUGGCCCCACCACCUACAGCCCCCCCCCCAUGGGCCCCAUGAGCGAACGCAAGUACUCUAUGGUCUCUGUGGGCGUCUGUGAGGUCUCUGCAGCUGGAGCCUCAGCCACCUGCUCCUCCUCUUCCUCCACUGAAACCCCCCUGGGCAGGUUCCCGGACCGCCUGCUGGUCCUGCUGGUAUGUGGUCAUGAGAGGGUGGGUCUACACGUCCGCACCAACAUCAAGGAGCUGCUGGGGCUGGAGCUCAGCCCGGUCCUGUACCACAUGCUCUUCAACAAGCUAAGGAACAGCAUCGGAAGCUUCUUCGACACACAGGCAACAUGUUGCAUGCCAUCCAGAUGAAAACCAAGCUGUGCCAGCUGGUGGAGGUGAUGAUGGAGAGACGAGACGACCUGUCCUUCUGCAAGGAGAUGAAGUUCAGGAACAAGCUGGUGGAGUACCUGACAGACUGGGUGAUGGGCACCUCCAACCAGGCUGCUGAUGACGAUAUCAAGUCUGGACCAAGCCAGUAUGGAGGCGGCGGUGUCUCUGUUAGCUGGCCUGCCUCUUCAGCCAGAGGAGGGAGACGGGGUGGAGCGGGGUGGAGCUGAUGGAGUUCAAGUCCCAGCUCUUCCUCAAGUACUUUACCCUGUUCAUGAACCUGCUGAAUGACUGCAGUGAGGUGGAGGAUGAUGGCUAGCCGGUGGUUGGGAGGAAGAGGGGCAUGUCUCGACGCCUGGCCUCCCCCAGACACUGUACUGUCCUGGCCAUGUCCAACCUCCUCAACGCCAACGUGGACAGCGGACUCAUGCACUCUAUCGGUUUGGGCUACCAUAAGGACCUG